AGUUGCUACAGAAGUUAACGGUCGAGGUUCGAAACUCUUCCUCGCUCCCUCUCACUGAGACUCUUUAAGUUUCUAAAACCCUAACGAGCUUCCCCCCGCGAAGCUCGAAGCCGUUUCCCGCUCUCUCUACCCUCUCCGGUUUUCCCUCGGACCCGCGAUCAUGUACGGAGGCGAUGAAGUGUCAGCGAUAGUCAUCGACUUGGGUUCGCACACCUGCAAGGCCGGUUACGCCGGUGAAGAUGCUCCCAAGGCCGUUUUUCCUUCUGUUGUGGGUUCGAUCGAUCAAAUGGAAGUUGACGAUGCUGCAAAUACCGAUACAAACUCUGGAGCAGCCACGGAGGCUAAGAGCAAUGUCAAAACACCUGAUUCUGAUAAAAAUAAGGGAAAGCGGAAAUUGUAUGUGGGAUCUCAGGCUCUAGGAUAUCGCAGGGAUCACAUGGAGGUCGUAUCGCCUUUCAAGGAUGGAAUUGUCGCGGAUUGGGAUAUUGUUGACAAUAUAUGGGAACAUGCUUUCAGGGAAUGUCUUCUAAUUGAUCCAACAGAGCAUCCGAUGCUUCUUGCAGAACCAUCUUCCAACCCUCAGCAACAACGAGAAAAGGCAACUGAACUUAUGUUUGAAAAGUAUAAAGUUCCUGCCUUGUUUUUGGCAAAGAAUGCUGUCCUCACUUCUUUUGCAUCUGGGCGUGCCACUUCCUUAGUAGUUGAUUGUGGUGGAGGAUCAACCACAGUGGCUCCAGUACAUGAUGGUUAUGUUCUUCAAAAGGGUGUGGCGACUUCACCUAUUGGAGGAGAAUUUCUAACCGAUUGCUUGUUGAAGAGCUUGGAAAGCAAAGGUAUCAAGAUAAGACCUAGAUAUUCGUUUAAGAGAAAGGAAGUACGUCCGGGAGAGUUUCAGUCAUUUGAUGUUGAUUUUCCAAGCACAACGGAAAGCUACAGACUAUAUUCCCAGAGGGUAAUUGCUAGUGAUAUCAAGGAUUCUGUAUGCCGUGCUCCAGAUAGUCCCUAUGAUGAGAGUGCAUAUGCAAAUAUUCCGAUGACCCCGUAUGAGCUACCUGAUGGCCAGACAAUUGAAAUUGGGGCUGACAGAUUUAAGAUUCCUGAUGUUCUGUUCAAUCCGUCCCUAGCUCAGACAAUUCCCGGCAUGGAGAGUUUCUCAGAGUUUGCUCCUUCUGUUCGUGGAUUAUCCCAGAUGGUUAUUGAGAGUAUUAACAAGUGUGACGUUGACAUCCGAAGAGAACUGUUUAGUAGUAUUCUGCUUGCGGGUGGCACUGCAUCGAUGCAGCAGUUGAAGGAACGUCUUGAGAAAGACUUGCUAGAGGAAUCCCCUCAAGCUGCUAGAGUAAAAGUAUUGGCCAGUGGGAAUACAACUGAAAGAAGAUUCAGUGUUUGGAUAGGAGGAAGUAUAUUGGCAUCUCUCGGAUCAUUUCAGCAGAUGUGGUUCUCAAAGACCGAGUACGAGGAACAUGGUGCUUCAUAUGUUCAGAGAAAAUGCCCGUGAUUUGAUGCUCCUGGUGCUUCUACAAUGUCUAGGGUCAAUUGUUGGGAUGAUCUCUUGAAUUCCUCUUGUUGGAGUGGAAGAAAGAUGUUUGGGAGACUGAAUCCAAUUAGGGUUAUGUCAGAGUACUCAGAUUGGAAGUCGCAUUGUGGCCAAGUUUGAUAGGUUUGGAAUUAAGCAGCUAUACCAGCUCCGCCUAGCUCGGAAUGGCUCGGCUGUGGGGACUAGUUUCAUCUUUGCUCUUAUGGCUCAACUGAGGGGUACGCUUAUUGAAAUCCCAAGUUGUAGUUGCUAUAUUUUCCGUAGGAAAAUUUGACAGAGACUGAACUAA